CUGUAGUGACACGGAAGGUAAGACAGAGCCGGGAAUGAGAAAACCGGUGCAAGCACAAUAGAUGUGUGGGAGGAAAAACCCCCGCAUAAGUCGAAGGUGUGACGCGGACCGAAAAAGAGUAGGGAAGCUGUUAAGCAAGCCGUCAGGAAAAGCUGCUAUUGUUUCAUUAUGGCCCGUACCGUAAACCGACACAGGUGGAUGGGGAGAGAAUCCUAAGGCCGGCGGAAGAAGUAUUGUUAAGGAACUCGGCAAAAUGACCCCGUAACUUCGGGAGAAGGGGUGCCUGCGAGGGCAGGCCGCAGAGAAGAGGCCCAAGCAACUGUUUAGCAAAAACACAGGUCUAUGCAAAACCGAAAGGUGAGGUAUAUGGGCUGACGCCUGCCCGGUGCUGGAAGGUUAAGGGGAGUGGUCAGGAAACGAAGCCACGAACUUAAGCCCCAGUAAACGGCGGCCGUAACAAUAACGGUCCUAAGGUAGCGAAAUUCCUUGUCGGGUAAGUUCCGACCCGCACGAAAGGCGUAAUGAUUUGGGCGCUGUCUCGACAAUACAUCCGGUGAAAUUGAAGUGCCAGUGAAGAUGCUGGCUACCUGCGCCAGGACGGAAAGACCCCAUGGAGCUUUACUCCAGCUUGAUACUGGGACCCGGUAUUGCAUGUACAGGAUAGGUGGGAGGCUAGGAAAUGUGGACGCCAGUCUGCAUGGAGCCGCUGUUGGGAUACCACCCUUGUGGUGCUGGGUUUCUAACCAGAGGCCGUGAACCGGUCUGGGGACAAUGUCAGGUGGGGAGUUUGACUGGGGCGGUCGCCUCCGAAAGGGUAUCGGAGGCGCCCAAAGGUUCCCUCAGAAUGGUUGGAAACCAUUCGAAGAGAGCAAAGGCAGAAGGGAGCUUGACUGCGACACCGACGGGUGGAGCAGGUACGAAAGUAGGGCUUAGUGAUCCGGUGGAACUUAAGUGGGAAUGCCAUCGCUCAACGGAUAAAAGCUACCCUGGGAUAACAGGCUGAUCACUCCCAAGAGUUCACAUCGACGGAGUGGUUUGGCACCUCGAUGUCGGCUCAUCGCAUCCUGGGGCUGAAGUCGGUCCCAAGGGUUGGGCUGUUCGCCCAUUAAAGCGGUACGCGAGCUGGGUUCAGAACGUCGUGAGACAGUUCGGUCCCUAUCCGGCGUGGGCGUAGGAUAUCUGAGAGGAGCUGUCCUUAGUACGAGAGGACCGGGAUGGACUGACCUCUGGUGUACCGGUUGGCGAUCAACGCCACGGCCGGGUAGCCAUGUCGGGACGGGAUAAACGCUGAAGGCAUCUAAGCGUGAAGCCCCCCUCAAGAUGAGAUAUCCCAUCGUAAGAGUAAGACCCCUUGAAGACGACGAGGUUGAUAGGGCAGGGGUGGAAGUGCCGUAAGGCAUGGAGCUGACUGCUACUAAUCGGUCGAGGGCUUGACCG
rnacentral:rRNA from 1 species